UUCAUAUCGUUUCCAGGAAAAUUCGUUACGAAAAAAUAUCAUAUUUACCUUGUUUGUAUUUUCCUGGUGUCUAUUGUAUUGUUGCCGCUAUCAAACAACAAAGUAUUUUUAGUUCUGCUUAUUCCUUGGCACUCGACAGUUUAGCGAAAAAGACUCGUUGCGAAUUUCGUACUGUAUCUCAACAUCCUACAAAAAAAACCUGCUGACAGUAGUUCAAAAAAUAGACCUACCUAUUAAUAUUUGCGAAAUAAGAUUAUGUCCACCACAGUUAACACGGACACGGAACAAAUUGUACUAACUCCUAUGGACACGGAAAACCCGAGUUUCCGGUUCCUGCAAAAGAAUAAACUGGCUCCAAACGUUCUCACGUUAGUUUCGAAUCCUCAAGAAGACACGUUGGCAACAGAUCAAAUGUUAACCGAUCAAUGUAUAGACGAAUGUGACGAGCAAUCUGAAGAGGUGUCUACUUUAUUUCCGGAAACACCUACUGUCACAUCUGAUCCAGAGGAAAUUUUGAAUUAAGCUGGUCAAAAUGAAAAUCAGACGCCUAAUACAUCUAUGAAACGAACAUUACCUGACGGACCUGGAUACCAGACUAAAAAGCCUGCUACCAGCGCGAUUAAGUUUAUGUCAUUCCGAAUAAAUUGGACUAAAAUUAGUGACAUCCUACUAGGUCGGUUGAACGCAUUACAGGAUUAUAAACGUGAGCAUCCAAACACUCGGAAUGAUCAAAUCCCAGUGUAUUUGCGUUUGAAGAAAAAUGAAAAAAGUUUACUUGUCAACACUUUGGUGGAUCAACUACGAGCUAUUGAUAAAAACGUUCCCGCUGAUGUAAUGGAAUCCGUUUCAGAGCAAUUGUUGAAGAGGUAUCCGUGCCUCGAAACCGCUGACGACGAUGGAUUUUCAAACGGUUCAAGUCACAUUGAGAUCAAACUGAAAAUGAUAAACCGUAAGUGCUAUCUCAAUAACCUCGAUAAAUCAGGAAGAAAAGCCUGUCCCGGUGAUUUCAAAGCCCCGAAACUGCAAUGCAGGUACCAUUCCGGGAUAUUGGAAGUUUUCGUCUAGUCAGUGUUCGAAAGAAAUAUUUUCUAAGCUCCGUCGAAAUGAGUCGUCUCUGCUGACCGAAGAGUUUUUGAGUGAAUCCCAGGCAUUCGUUCGAUCACGAUUGGACGAAAACAAGGAGCUCAAAAUUAUUCUUUCGGAGUUACCUGUUCUACGGCGUCGUCAACUUCUCCAUUAUCACUUCAAACAAGCAACUGGCAUUGAAAUUGGAAUUCUUCAAUCAUACUUCAGCUCCAAGCGAGCCAAAAUAGUUGAUUACUCAACUACGCAAAAACUGUUUAAGCUGCAGCAGACAUGCACGGAUUAUGAUGUACUUGCUGUUCUAGCCUAGCUAGUAGGAGAAAAUCUCGAGGAUCUCGUUUUGAAGAAAGAGGUCGGCACAUGCAUUGACGAUAUCCGCGAGGAAUAAAAAAAAAGAUAAAUAUUUGGCGUUCAUUUUGCAGCACAUGAACAAUUUUUACUAAUUUCAACUUGAGAAAAAAUCAAACUAGGUAAACAAUAGACGCAACCGAUUUUUUGCUUUUCGUAAGAGUGACCAUUAGCCUUAGCCUGAUUCGUCAUAUGGACCAUCAGCUUUACUUCCCUCUCGAAGGAAGAAUGUCGGGAUCAAGAUUAGAAACCUUGAUUUCUGAGGCGCCAGACCAACUGCUGCAAGACAAAAUAUGAUUUUAAAGCUUUUGAUAUGUAAUAUUUGGCGUUGGAUUAGAAAAUCAAUCAUGCAAGUUUUUUCCAUAAAUGGAGAUCAGGGGGUGAAUGAGUACUACACGUUAGCUUUGUAUUUAAAAAUGUUGCAAAUUUGAAAAAAAGAAAUGAAACUUAAUACUAAUUAGCG